GAUGAAGAACGCAGCGAAAUGCGAUACGUAAUGUGAAUUGCAGAAUUCAGUGAAUCAUCGAAUCUUUGAACGCAUAUUGCGCUCUCUGGUAUUCCGGAGAGCAUGCUUGUUUGAGUAUCAGUAAACACCUCAACUUCCAUAUCUUUUUUGAAAUGGGAGUUGGACUUGAGUGAUCCCAACGCUUUUCCUCACCGAAAAGUGGCGGGUUACUUGAAAUGCAGGUGCAGCUGGACUUUUCUCUGAGCUAUAAGCAUAUCUAUUUAGUCUGCCUAAAAAACAGAUUAUUACCUUUGCUGCAGCUAACAUAAAGGAGAUUAGUUCUUGUGCUGACUGAUGCAGGAUUCACAAAGACAGGCUUCGGCCGACUUUGUAAACUCGAUCUCAAAUCAAGUAAGACUACCCGCUGAACUUAAGCAUAUCAAUAGGCGGAGGA
rnacentral:misc_RNA from 1 species